UACUUCAAUACUUGGAGCUAUAUGUAAAAAUCGUCAUUGGACUCUUGUGAUUGUUGAUCCUUUGAAGGGUUUCAUACAUUACUUUAACCCCCUGAAAGAGACCAGAAUACAGAUUGAGGAGAUAAAGAGAAACUGGUGUUUGUACACCAGUGAGAGGAUGGUUACAUAUCAUGAAGUGG